UAAAAAGAUAAAAUUAUUAGUGAAUUUGUCCGCUACAUGUAAUAAUUGUGUAUGAUCAAAUCUAAUCGUCGCACGUAUUUUCGACUGUUGUAACCAUCGUAACUUUUUUUUUAAAGGCUUUUUAUUGAAAAAGGCCCCUUAAUGGGCUGGGCUUUGGCCUUAUAAUAAAAAACAAAGGAAAACAAAUUAGAGGGUUAAUCGUUGCCGGAAAAGAGGCUCUGGACAUAUUGACACUGUGUCGCAGAAGAUCCAGCCAUUAAAUCCGGCGGAAGCGAGAUCUACGGCUUUGUGACGGACCGAGUUAUCUAGGCAACGGAGAGGAAGCGACCGUCUCCUGAUUCCGUUUCUUUUCCCCCGGCCAACCAACCCACUACAAAUCUCCCGGAAAAGCCCACCCUCCGACGACUCAGCACGUUGUAGUCAGCUCCUGACCAAGCGAACCGACUACUUCCAAACUAACCCCUCCUUCCCUGCUCUGGCAACCAUCCAAUCACCGGACCAAACUCCUUUUAACCGGCCAUGGGGAAGCAAGUCGCGGUGAUGAUCGGAAGCUCAAACAAAAUCAAUCCAUGACGGCCAUCAAGAUCCCGACGGAUCUACCGUUAACCACCAUGACGAUUUGACCUAACCCACCUUCUCUCCCGCCGACUUCCGCCAUGGCUGCACAACCGACCAAUUGGGUGAGCCACGAACCACCUUUGCUACCCCUAACCAGCGUCUUCAAACCGGUGGAGUUUCAGCAAAAGUCUUCUACCAAAUCGCCGGAUCUAAAACCACAUCGAGAGGAGAGGAACCCACCGCUGUCGACCGAGAAGAAGUCUGGUCCGCCUCUGCUUCUCAAGGUAGAACCAAAGGAAUCACGAUCAAAGCCACUAAGAACAGAUCUGAAUCAAAGAUUGAACUAGAAGAGAGAGAAAGAGCUUUUCGCCUAGAUUUUUCUUGGUUACCAAUAACUUUAAUUGUGGAUUUGUGGUCAUGCCUAAUAAUAAUCAUGGAAAUGAUCUGUACGUGUACUCGUGUAGACGAAAGUCAUAACUGAACUCCAAAUGGAAAAUGUUAACAAAGUAUCAUUGACGAAUGCAUGUGAUAU
rnacentral:lncRNA from 1 species